rnacentral:lncRNA from 1 species
AAUACUACAAGUAACAACCAUCCAAACAAGUUGUCAAAGACCUUUCUUUCACCUAAUUUUUGAGAUUUUUACAUAAUUUUGAGAAGUAGUUCUUCAUUUAUAACUACAGUUACUUUACUAGAGUUUUUAUGGACUUUGUCAAUAAGACAGUGGGAUUUUUCCAUCAGACCAGAGUGCCAAUUGAAUUUAUCAUCUUCAUUGUUAAGGCGUGAGGGCGAUCGGGAAAUUGGGGGCGUUCAUCUCUGCUAAUCCUUAGAACUUUCCGGAUCGCCUAAAAAAUUUUCCGGAACAUCAAAUAUGACCUAUAGUCACGGCCCCAUUACCAUCGUUCCUUAUAUUUUGGCGUUUUACGGCCAUAAAAGCCCAAUUUUCAUAUUUUCAUAUGCUAUGGACCAUGCCUUCCGCCGAGAGCCCGUGACGCUGAACCACGAUAGCUGAAUUUUUUUACGGGACAUGAAAUAUGACUUAUGGAACCAUAGUCACCGCCCCACCACGACCGUCCUCUUUUUUAGCGUUUUACAACCACAAAACUAAAAUUUCAGCCGAUUCUCAGUUUUAUCCAGGCCGCCGGAUCCGAAUCGCCUAAAGCUUUUCCGAGACAUCAAUACAAUCAAAGGAACUAUAAGCAUCAUCCUGCAUUAUUUUUGACAUUG